GCAAAAAGGAGGGAGAGGGAGGCAGGAUGCUCUCUGGCACUCUCAUAUAUUAGGUCUCUGCAAAGACAGAAGGCUGUAGAGGCAGCCUCAGCCAGCCUUUGGGCAGUGAUUCUAACUAGUGCCCCCGAACACGGUGGUCAGGACGACUUUGAAGAGGCAAUUCAUUACUUAUGCAUAGAACGCUCUAGCUCUGCUAAACCAAGAGCGCAAACGCCCCCUUGUUCUCUACUGUAGAGACUUGCAUCUUUUUGGUACUCAACAUUCUCAAGAUACUCUGCUACUACAGUUGAGUCUCUACUAUCGACUGGAAAGACACAUACAUGCAGGGACUGUCAAGACUUCACGUCUCACUAUCAAAACUGAACUGGGAUUGAACCCAUGAUGUCAUACAUGCUAAUGAAGCAUUCUACCACUAUUCCAACUCUCAGGAAAUCAAGAAAAUGUCCUUCAUGAUUCUACCAUGAUAUUGACUACUACUGAAUUUUCACCUUACUAUUGUCUGCAUAUUUAAGAAUUAGUGAUGAACAUGGCAAAUGGUCAAUGAGC
ensembl:lncRNA